AAGUGAGUUUUGCCUAUCCCCUUCCAUCAGAAUCACCUGGUGAGCUUGUUAGAGAACAGAUUCUCAGGAACCACACCAGGAUUUCGGAUUUAGAAUUGAUGGUGGUUGAGCCUAGACUCUGUAUUUUUAACAAGCUCCCUAUGUGAUUCUUUUUCAUGCUAAAAUUUGAGAGCAUCUGGCCUCCAGAUCAAGUGCAAACACUUCAGAAUUGCUGGUAAGUACCAUCUGACUCUGGCUUAGCGCCUUCUUUCCCUCAAUUCUUUCUACUCUUUCACCUCCCCUCUGCACUCCAGCUUUUUGGAGGGAGAUUUCAUGUUUGCUGGCAUCUCUACCAAUAAGCACACCAAUCGAAGUGGAAUUCAAAAAGGCUGUUUUGGUCACUUACCAAACCUCUCAUCAGAGAAAUGUUGGAAGAAGUAAUUUAAUUGAAAUCUCUAUAUGAUGAGAAGACUGUGCUCAGAGAUGGUAAGAAACUCAGAAGAGGCACCUGGUGAAUAGGAGAUGUCUGGAACUUGAAUGCAGAUGCCUUUCCAGUGGAGCUAACAAAAAACAAAACAAAAUAAAACAGUCUCCAACAUACUAAACAGCUGUCGCCAAGAUCAGAAAGCAUCAGAAAAGACCCUAAAAGAGUUGUCUAAUCCCCAAGGAAGAGCUUGUUUAAGUGCAGAAGUGCUUGCAGCAGAAACUUUCGAAAUUUCAGGGAGUGGAAUUUUAUUGUCAGAACUUUCAAUAAAAGUGCAGCUGCAGAUCCUGGGAGCAUUAAAUAAAAAUUGCCAACAAGCUGUCUUACCUGUGUGCACUCCACGGAAAGAAAGGGCAAUUGUGAGCAAGUCGCGCUUGUACGUCAGUCAAAACUCUGACAGCUACCCUGUGAAGUUUGACAAGCUGCCAUGUGCUCGACUACCUAAGAUACUCUUAACUGAACCAUAAAAAGACAAAUAAAUUAGUAAUUGUAUCCCUCCUGUCAAUGUCCUUUUUCGUGAACUUCUCAAGCUGUUGGUUAACAUUGUCUGGAAUGACUUACCAAUGUAUUCUUAGCUUUCUUAGAAAAGGCAGAUACACUUGAUUUUUUCCAAAUUGUUUUUUGAAUUGAUUUAAGAAAAUGAUACAGAUAUUACCCAUUUCUGGACCUCUCGUUUUACUCCCUGGUCUGCCUCCUCCCAUUAGGAAAUCAGACCAAUAAGAUUAACAUAAUCUUUCUUGGAAUUGACUGUUCUUUUUAAAUAGAUCCCAUGAUAGACAUGUGUAAAAAUCAAUAACAGGCUCCUCAUUUGUCAAAGCUAAUGACUAAACUCAUUUUGAAGUUCAAUAGUGGUUACUGAAGAGUGGCCACACAUUAUAUAUCUAAUCCUGUAGGUCUCUCCACUUAUUCCGCAGAAGAACAGAGAAAAAGGAGCCUUUGUUCCUUGAGGCACAAUAAAAAAGCUUGUGUCUCC
rnacentral:lncRNA from 1 species